AUUGAACGCUGGCGGCAUGCCUUACACAUGCAAGUCGAACGGCAGCACGGGAGCUUGCUCCUGGUGGCGAGUGGCGAACGGGUGAGUAAUACAUCGGAACGUACCCUGAAGUGGGGGAUAACGUAGCGAAAGUUACGCUAAUACCGCAUAUUCUGUGAGCAGGAAAGAGGGGGAUCGCAAGACCUCUUGCUUUAGGAGCGGCCGAUGUCGGAUUAGCUAGUUGGUGAGGUAAAGGCUCACCAAGGCGACGAUCCGUAGCGGGUCUGAGAGGAUGAUCCGCCACACUGGGACUGAGACACGGCCCAGACUCCUACGGGAGGCAGCAGUGGGGAAUUUUGGACAAUGGGCGCAAGCCUGAUCCAGCCAUGCCGCGUGAGUGAAGAAGGCCUUUGGGUGUAAAGCUCUUUCGGUGGGAAGAAAUUGCUUCGGUUAAUACCUGGAGUAGAUGACGGUACCCGCAUAAGAAGCACCGGCUAACUACGUGCCAGCAGCC
rnacentral:rRNA from 1 species